UUAUAUUUGAAGAGUUAGAAUAUCACGAGCCUGUCUGCAGACAGCAUUGUUCCAAUAAGGAUUUCAGGUGUGCCGUUCGUUUUCCUUUAGAAGUAAUUCUUUUCUAUAAGAUUGUGGAACAUGUUAGGAUGACCUUGUGAACAUCUUAGACCCCUGCGGAAUGUCAGCUUCCAAUUGUGUUCUCUUUUCUUCAGCGAACAUGAAUUUGAUCCAGACUCUUACAAGAUUCCUUUUGUGAUUCUUUCUUUGAAGACAUUUGCGCCCCAGGUUCACAGUCUUCUCCAGACCCACGAGGGCACCGUGCCUUUAUUGAGCUUUCCAGAUUGUUACAUUGCAGAGUUUGGCGAUCUAGAGGUAGUGCAAGAAAACCAAGGAGGUGUUCCCUUAGAACACUUCAUUACCUGUGUUCCAGGUGUAAACAUUGCCACUGCUCAGAAUGGCAUCAAAGUGGUUAAAUGGAUUCACAACAAGCCCCCGCCUCCCAACACUGACCCUUGGCUUCUGCGUUCGAAGAGUCCUGUAGGUAACCCCCAGCUGAUCCAGUUCAGUAGAGAAGUGAUUG
rnacentral:sRNA from 1 species